GGUGCUCCCCUGUAGACCCAGCACUUGGGAGGCUGAGGGAGAAUGAACCCCAAAAGUUCAAGGCCAGCCUGGACUACAUAAUGAGACCUUGUCUUAAAAAAAAAAAAAAAAAAAAAAAAAAAAAAAAAAA
rnacentral:lncRNA from 1 species